GUUGAACGCUGGCGGCAUGCCUUACACAUGCAAGUCGAACGGCAGCACUGGUUCUUGCACCUGGUGGCGAGUGGCGAACGGGUGAGUAAUACAUCGGAACAUGCCCUCUAGGGGGGGGUGGCCCGGUGAAAGCAGGAUUAAUACCGCAGACGAUCAACGGUUGAAAGAGGGGGAACUUCGGACCUCGCCCAUUACGUUUCGCCGAUGGCUGAUUAGCUAGUUGGUGGGGUAAAGGCCUACCAAGGCGACGAUCAGCAGCUGGUCUGAGAGGACGACCAGCCACACUGGGACUGGGAACCGGCCCAGACUCCUACGGGAGGAAGCAGUGGGGAAUUUUGGACAAAGGGCGAAAGCCUGAUCCAGCAAUGCCGCGUAGGGGAAGAAGGCCUUCGGGUUGUAAAGCACGUUGGUACGGAAGGAAAUCGUUGGCUCUAAUACAGUCGGGGGAUGACGGUACCGGAAGAAUAAGCACCGGCUAACUACGUG
rnacentral:rRNA from 1 species